rnacentral:rRNA from 1 species
AGUGAACGCUGGCGGUAGGCCUAACACAUGCAAGUCGAACGGCAGCACAGUAAGAGCUUGCUCUUACGGGUGGCGAGUGGCGGACGUGUGAGGAAUACAUCGGAAUCUACUUUUUCGUGGGGGAUAACGUAGGGAAACUUACGCUAAUACCGCAUACGACCUACCGGUGAAAGCAGGGGAUCUUUGGACCUUGCGCGAUUGAAUGAGCCGAUGUCGGAUUAGCUAGUUGGCGGGGUAAAGGCCCACCAAGGCGACGAUCCGUAGCUGGUCUGAGAGGAGGGUAAGCCACACUGGAACUGAGACACGGUCCAGACUCCUACGGUAGGCAGCAGUGGGGAAUGUGGGACAAUGGGGGCAAGCCUGAUCCAGCGAUACCGAGUGGGUGAAGAAGGCCUUCGGGUUGUAAAGCCCUUUUGUUGGGAAAGAAAAGCAUCAGGUUAAGACCCCGCUGUUCUGACGGUACCCAAAGAAUAAGCACCGGCUAACUUCGUG